ACACGACUACAUUAGAUACCCCCUGUAGUCCUAGCCGUAAACGAUACUCGCUAGGUGUCGGCCACGGUGCGACCGUUGUCGGUGCCGUAGGGAAGCCGUGAGGCGAGCCACCUGGGAAGUACGGCCGCAAGGCUGAAACUUAAAGGAAUUGGCGGGGAGCACCACAACGGGUGGAGCCUGCGGUUUAAUUGGACUCAACGCCGGGAAGCUCACCGGAUAAGACAGCGGAAUGAUUGCCGGGCUGAAGACCCUGCAUGACCAGCUG
rnacentral:rRNA from 1 species